GAUGAACGCUGGCGGCGUGCUUAACACAUGCAAGUCGAACGGUGAAGGCGGAGCUUGCUCUGCUGGAUCAGUGGCGAACGGGUGAGUAACACGUGAGCAAUCUGCCCCUGACUCUGGGAUAAGCGCUGGAAACGGCGUCUAAUACUGGAUACGAGCUGCGAAGGCAUCUUCAGCAGCUGGAAAGAAUUUCGGUCAGGGAUGAGCUCGCGGCCUAUCAGCUUGUUGGUGAGGUAAUGGCUCACCAAGGCGUCGACGGGUAGCCGGCCUGAGAGGGUGACCGGCCACACUGGGACUGAGACACGGCCCAGACUCCUACGGGAGGCAGCAGUGGGGAAUAUUGCACAAUGGGCGAAAGCCUGAUGCAGCAACGCCGCGUGAGGGACGACGGCCCUCGGGUUGUAAACCGCUUUUAGCAGGGAAGAAGCGAAAGUGACGGUACCUGCAGAAAAAGCGCCGGCUAACUACGUG
rnacentral:rRNA from 1 species